GAGAUCCUUGCCUACCUGUGGCCUCCCAAGGGAAUGUGUGCUGUACUCCAACAGCAAAAGAGAAACCAAACCAUUUGAAUCGCAAGCCCUAAUUGCACCAGUAGAAGAGGAUGCAGAUGGUAAGGCGCUGACUCUGGCAACAGCUCUGAUCAGUCUAAGCUGGGAGGGGAGCCAGCUAAUCCCCCUGCCUCUACCAGAUCCAUGCAGACCAGCAUCAGAUUUGUGCUCCCCCUUUGACUUCCUCAUAUCCUUAGCUGUUUCCCCUUUUUUUUUAUUUCUCCUCCUCUUCUUGAAAAAUAUCUGGGACUGCCAUCUUCUGCAGCACUCCUGUAACUCUGAAACAAAAAAUGUCAGCCAAAAGCAGUAUCAUAAUUUGCUGAUGCAUGUUAGUUACAUUUCAGAGUAGGGAGGCAAUGUGUGAGUCUUGUUCUUCUCUGAUGGAAAGGCUGUAAGCAAGAAUAAGCUCUAGAAGUUCAGUGUCCAUUUCUGUGUAUGCUGUUACUUUAUGUCUUUGUUUAGAAGUUAAGUAGAUGGAAACUAGUUUGGAUGCCUGACAACGUAAAACAAUGCCAUACUUCAUAAAAUCAAAGUGACUGCCAGCAUGGGGAAGAGAAGUGGGUACAAGAGAUAUUCCUUCUUCUGUAUUAGUCGUGACAUAUCAUGAAGGUUUUGUGUUUGUCAUGGAUCUGAGAUAAUUGUUUUUUUCAACUAUUAACUACUCAAGAUAACUUUUUUAGUUUUCUAGGCUGGUUUAUUCCCUCCAAGUAAAUCAAACACUUCUCCCUU